UCUCCUGGAAACGGGUGGUAAUGCCGGAUGUUCCACAUGAGCGCAUGCGAGUGUGGGAAAGGCUUUUUGCGGCAUGGGAUGGGGUCGCGUCCUAUCAGCUUGUUGGUGGGGUAACGGCCUACCAAGGCGUUGACGGGUAGCCGGCCUGAGAGGGCGACCGGCCACAUUGGGACUGAGAUACGGCCCAGACUCCUACGGGAGGCAGCAGUGGGGAAUAUUGCACAAUGGGCGCAAGCCUGAUGCAGCGACGCCGCGUGCGGGAUGGAGGCCUUCGGGUUGUAAACCGCUUUUGUUCAAGGGCAAGGCACGGUUUCGGCCGUGUUGAGUGGAUUGUUCGAAUAAGCACCGGCUAACUACGUGCCGGCAGCCGCGGUAAUACGUAGGGUGCAAGCGUUAUCCGGAUUUAUUGGGCGUAAAGGGCUCGUAGGCGGUUCGUCGCGUCCGGUGUGAAAGUCCAUCGCUUAACGGUGGAUCCGCGCCGGGUACGGGCGGGCUUGAGUGCGGUAGGGGAGACUGGAAUUCCCGGUGUAACGGUGGAAUGUGUAGAUAUCGGGAAGAACACCA
rnacentral:rRNA from 1 species